CAGGGUGACUGACCUCACAAAGGCACGGACGACAUGUAAUGGGAAAAUGGUCAGCAGCAGGAGAAAAGUUGUGUAUUUCAUCGUGUAAACUUGCACCGGACACUGGCAGGCUCCAGUCUAGCUAAUCCACAAAAGCUGUUUGCCCAGACACAGCAGACCUGAUUAGAAAGGAUUGCUAUGCAAGCACCCACAAGUCUCUGGCUAUGGUGGCCAUGGUCUCACCGCUCACCUCCAGCAGCUGUGAGAUCCGACCCGAAGCAGUGCCUUCAGAAGCGAGAUGCAAAGGACGCUGCAGAGCCGAGAAGAAGGACUCCCCAGGGAGCCAGCCGAUGGGAGCGGAGACCAGGUCCUCCAGCCCGCGGGCUCCAGAGACACAGGUGGUGUGGGUAGUUGGCUGGCCCCGGCCGCACGGCCCGCCGCUGCGCAGCCUCAGACCCGGCCCGUAGGUAGGAACUUCCGGAACGAAGCUCCCUUUGGUCAAGAGGGAGUCGCUUCCGGGCCACAAAGGUUCAGAAGGCUGCAAGGACGAAACUGCAGACAGGACAUCACAAGGGGGCAGUUUUCAGACUCGUUUGUGCAAAUGCGUGUCAAAAGCCAUGUGCUUCUCCGCCCACAGUGCCUCCCCAGUCGUGCCUGGAGGGGCAGGUGGAGGGCGCGGCCGGCAGGCCGGGCCACGCCCCUCUCGCCCUUGCCCUUGCCCACUGGCUGUAGCCGCAGACACCCCCGGCCGGGCUGCUGGCGCACCCCCACUGUUUUCACUCUCAGCCUCUCCUAAAUGGAAACCAUUAAUCAUACUAAAUUGUGCAAUGAGUCCAGGACGGGGAGAAUGCUGAUGGCAAAAAUCAUUCUCCUUUGUUGCGCCAGGCAGGCAAAAGGCAGAAGUAUUAGCUCAUUGCCCUGCCUGGCUCCUUGCAAAUGCUGACCGUGGGUUUGCCCACACAGCUGCCUCUGUGCACACAGCUCGUUUUCGCACGGGGCUAAGGCGUUCCAACUGCUGGCAGACCGCGAGGCGCCCGGCCACCUCUUCCUUAUUCCAAGGACAGCCAGUAAGAGUUCUAACCGUGGGUAUUCCCAAGAGGUCUCCCGUCUCGGGGACCUCCAGCUCAGGGGGCCGGGGGCCCAUGAGGCUCCCGGAAAACCCAAGGUGGUCUCGGCUGGGCUGAGCCGGUGGGGACGAGCCGUGCCCCGCCCCCCCCCUCCACGUCUGCCAGCUGGAUUUCAGAAGGAGCCAGGUGUGGGUACCAAGGAGGCUUUUUGCCUUUCAGAAUUUGAUGUCUGCUUCGCUUUUCGACAAGGCUCUUUUUUUUCAGAGGCCUCAGUGGGACAAGAUCCCUCUAGCAUGGGACCCGCCUUAAAGGACCCACGGGGCUCUGGGGAAAUGAAAACUUUCCUCCAUCCCCGCGCCUUCUUCUCCUCUCCCUCUUUCACACAACAGCUCAGCAGCCUGGAGCCCCGGGGUCCUCUCUCAUCCCCCGCUUCCAACCAGCCCCAGCUCCUGCCCCUCUGCCCCCUAAAUGCUUCUCCCACUUGACCCAGCCUCCUCCUGUCCCCUCCCUCACACAGGCCCCUCACCUCCCACCUCAGGGGGGGACAGCCUUUUGCCUGGCUUCCCGGGAGCCUGGGCCCUGGCCCCACCGCGGCCCCAAAUAGAAGUAAACCAGUUGGAAACCACUCCUGGCUGACUUUGGGCUGCAGAAGUCAUCUGAAUCCUCAGCGUCUAAGUCAGCUGGAUUUGGCGUUUGAGGCUCCUCCAGCGGGCCACCUGCACCUGCACCCCUGUCGGGCCUCCCUAUGGCCCCAGCUCACUGUCUCCCACACCUCUGUGCCUUUGAACUCUCCAAGCGUCCUUCCCCUGGCUCCUUCUCUGAACUUGCCCAGACUCCCACACUCACCUCCAUUUGAGUCCUUAUCACAUAUCUGAACUGUUUGUUUACCUUUCUGUCUCCCUCAAUAAAACAGUAAAUUCCUAGAGA